UUACGGUCAUAUCACGUUGAAAUACUGGUUCCCAUCCGAUCACUCAAGUUAAGCAAAAUCGAGUCUGGUCAGUACCUGGAUGAGUGACUGCUUUGGAAG